UGAGUAAUGCCUAGGAAUCUGCCUGGUAGUGGGGGACAACGUUUCGAAAGGAACGCUAAUACCGCAUACGUCCUACGGGAGAAAGCAGGGGACCUUCGGGCCUUGCGCUAUCAGAUGAGCCUAGGUCGGAUUAGCUAGUUGGUGAGGUAAUGGCUCACCAAGGCGACGAUCCGUAACUGGUCUGAGAGGAUGAUCAGUCACACUGGAACUGAGACACGGUCCAGACUCCUACGGGAGGCAGCAGUGGGGAAUAUUGGACAAUGGGCGAAAGCCUGAUCCAGCCAUGCCGCGUGUGUGAAGAAGGUCUUCGGAUUGUAAAGCACUUUAAGUUGGGAGGAA
rnacentral:rRNA from 1 species